GGGAAGGGCGUUCUCUUUGCGGUCAGACCGGGCAGAGUCAUCCCGAGGGGUGGGUCCUCCGGCAACAGAAAAGGAAAACCCACCUUUUUUCAUUGUUAAGGACGCGGUGGAAUGUGAUGGUUUGAUCUCAAAAGGACCAGGGAGGGGAAUAUCCGAGAGGAAAGGACCAGCGAAAGCGACUGAGGGAAAGGGGGAAAGCAGAAAGCGGUUCCCCCCUAUCGCCUCCAACUCUCUGGUCUUGACUGAGAAUAUGUGGAUGAACUUGUCCCGGCUGUGUCGGCUGCAGCGAGCCCUACCGUCCGCACGAGCUCAACCCGCGUGAAGUUGUGGAUUUACCGUUGCGUUUUCCGGACCCGGCGGUGGAACUGCUGAGGAUGGAGAGUUUGUGGAGCUUGAUUUGCUUUAGAGGAAAGGAUGCAUCUUAAAUUAAGACUUGUGUGUGGCCUGUCCUUAUAUGGUCUCCAUGUGCGUGCGGCACAAGAUGACAGAUUUGUCUGCUGAAAACCACUCUGAGGGAAUUUUGAUGUCUUAAAGAGACGGUGGCAAAACGAAUCAGAACAGCCUAACAAGAAAAAGGAGCUUUUCCUUGACAGCCUAAAGAACUUGGUAGCACAACGGCACAGAUGUGGACUCCCCAUCAGAUUUUCAUCAGAUAAUCUGGACAACAUAGAAACUUGGCCGAUACAAUAGAAAGAAAUCUGGAACCAUGUCGGAUCAUAAAGACAUGACCCAUCGCCACCUGAAGCACAAGCUGCAGAGUCUUGGCCGAAGACUUGAUGAACUGGAAGAAGCAACAAACAAGCUACAGAAGUCUGAGGAUGAGCUUCUUGACCUACAGGAUAAAAUUAUCCAGGCAGAGGGAAGUAACUCGUCCCUGCUCGGUGAUGUGGAAGCCCUGAGAAAACGUCUCUUGAAGAUCCAGGGGAAAGAUGAGGAGGUACGUAAAGCUGAGGAUCUUUGCCGCACAGUCAGAGAGAAACUGGAAGAGGAGGAAAACCUUACGAAAGAGCUAAAGGCAGAAAUAGAACGUCUUCAGCGACGGAUGGCUGAACUCGAGAAACUGGAAGAAGCUUUUGGGAAAAGCAAGUCUGACUGCAGCCAGCUCUGCCUUAGCCUCAAUGAGGAGAAAAACUUAACCAAGAAGCUCUCAUCUGAGUUGGAGACACUAAAAGCCCGUUUGAAAGAGGUGGAGGGGUCUGAGACAAAGCUGGAGAAAACAGAGCAGGCCUUGGCUAUGGAGCUUGAAAAGCUCAAGGGAUUCACCCAAACCUUUGCGAAUGAGCGUAAUAGGCUGCUAGAGAAACAAAGAGAAGAUGAGAAGACCAUUCUGAAGUUGGAAGAAAAGCUGGCGCACGCGAAGAAUCGCUUUGGCAUGUCAACGGAUUCUGGCAGAGCAGAUUUCAUGAGCUCAAGAAUUGAAGAUGAGCUAACAUCCACAGCGCUCUUAACGAGUAAGCUGGCUGGACGGAAGAAGAGCCUUGACUACUCAAAGCUGUCUGAGAAUGAGAAAAACAGCGGUCUUGAAGGCUCGCAGGAGGACAACAAAGUAAAGGAGCUGACACAGGAGGUAGAACGACUGAAGAACCGCCUCAAGCAGUUGGAGAUUGUGGAAGAGGAUUUGAAGAACUCGGAGUCCAAAAAUGGCGAACUUCACGAGAAGUUCCAGAUAGAAAGGGACCGAGUUCGAAAGUUAAAUGAGCAGGUGGAACACCUCAGGAUGCAGCUGUGUGGAAAAGGCGGAAUCGGAGGAAAUGGAAUUGGUAACUUGGAUAAACACGGCAAUGGAAGCAGCACUGCUAAGGUCAUUGAAAAUGGCAAAGUUGAGAAUGAAGAGACUAUCCUGAAGGGAGGGUUUAGACAAGAAAAGCCCAAAUAUAGAAGUGCAGCAACUGUCCCAGAGCCAAGUUCCCCAAAACAUAGGAACAGGGAUUUAUCUCCUCAGCAUAAAUCUUGGAACAAAGAUUUUAGCAACUCUGAGAAGGGUUCUCCCAAGUCAGUGAGGAGAGCCCUCAGUCCUGCUCUAAAGAGAAGGACACCCAGAACUACAACUACCACAAAUUCAUCUGAUAAUGGAAUACGAGAUACAGUGCGAGGAGCUGAGGAAAAGCCAAGAGGAACCACAUACAGCUCUGUGAAUACAACUUCUAGUGAUACCAAGAAGAUGUCCGUCCUUAGUCGAUACCCUCCAGCAGCUAAUGACCAGAAGCCACUAAGGACAGCUCACAAGCAUACAGAUGACAUCAAGAAGAGCAGAGAAAAGUUCUCAAAACUGUAUGUAGGUAGUGACAGUGAAUCUAACAACUCUGAUGUCGUGCCUGACAGUACUUCCAGUACCAUGAACAGCAUCUCUGCUCUAGAGAAGGAAACGGUGCCCGUCUCCGAUCAGGAACCAGCAGACCAGAUUCAGGAAUCUGUAUCUUCUUCUAUUUCUACUAUAUCCAAAGCCAAUGGCUCAUACACAGCCUACAGAUCUCACAUCAAUCCCUUGCUGCCCAAUGACCAGGGGUCAGAGGGUCAUUCUUCUGCCUCAGAAACAGAAUCUACUGGAUCAAGGCCAUCUGAGCUGGACCCUACAGCUGAAGCAGCUGAGGCAGCUAGCACAACCGUAAGCAGUAGGACUGUAACCUCCAGGUAUUCUAGAUACCCUCAAGUCCAGGACUCGCAUUCAGAGGGUUCCUCCUCCAGGAGCUCCUUUGAUGAAGAGCUGCACAGCCGGUCACAGGUAGCUGAGGGAGGUCACCAGGGACCCAUGCAUACUCCAGCAGGGAUUGAAAUCCAACGAGUAUGCAGUCCUAGAGAGGCACUGAGGUCAAGAGCUGUGAUCAAGCCUGCUAUUGUUGAAAUUGACAGAAAGGAAGUAAUGAUUUCAGAACCCUUGCCUACAAAUGGGAAACCCAAGAUCUCGACCAAACCAAUAGUGACUACUACUAAUAAAAUCACCAGUAGUAUAACCAUCUACCCAAAUGAUCCAAGCUCUUCCAGAACCAGCAGUCGCAGCAGCAGUGUGUCCAGUGAACCUGCGCCUAUUAAAGAACGCCACACAUCUACCAGUAACAUCGUUAUAGGCCCAAACACUGACCAUCACGGCAGUAUUUCCGUCCCAUAUGAGAUCUCCAUACCCAAGAGUGAGAUCACUUUGCGGCCAUGCCAGGACCAAGACUGUGGGCCACACAGCCACAGUGAUUCAUCAUCAAGGUCUAAACUCCACAACACUUCCAGGGUGGAGACCACCACCAGCCACCUGUGCUGCCAGCGCAGCAACUUUAGCCUCCAGUCCCCGGACGUCACUUCCUCGGACUUCAACGACACAGAAUCAGGAUUUGAGAGCAGCAGCAGCAGCAGCACAACCACCGUCACCAGCUGGAGAAGCCAACGGCAAAGCCAACCGUCACACGAAGACAGUUUGCCAGAUAUGAAGAAUGUGACCAUGAGAAGCCCCUGGAGGAACAAAAGCGCCAUGUCUGUGGACGAGGGAAGUCGAGGAAAGAGUACGAGAGCAAUGACAGAUGGCGGGUCUGAAGAUGAAACAGAAACUGCAACAACGUGGAGGGCUUACAGGGCAACCACCUUUGACACAGAGGACUCUGUAAACAGUGGAAACGGAGGCGGCGGAAAUGCUGCAGCACAGAAGGGAGCCAAGCCAUCCCCUGCUGAGGUGUACAUGCGUAAGAUCUCUCAGUCUCCCCCUAUGGAAACUGGAGGGUUGGGAAGGGCCAUACCCCAUGCACCCGUUACCUCUCAGUCCUGGAGCCGAUCAUAUUCACAGCAGCCUCCGGCUUCUGAUAACCUGGACCCCAGUCCAAACCCGAGUCACAGCCCAGCCUCUUGGAGACGACAGAUACCCAGUAGUGAUCUGGGGACCUCUUACGAUCGGAUAAGCAGGACACCUGGAGCCUCCUCUAGAGGAGGGGAGCCCUGGUCCAGUCGGGGGCAAGGCUUAGGGGCCAGAGCUGAGGGGAGGAGUGGAGCGGGAGGCAGACCGUGGAGCCAGCGUCAGUCAGAGCAACAUUAGACCAAGUGAGGAGGAGGAUUGAAGCAAGUGGACAGCUCUCAACUGCAAAAUAAGGGCCAAGCGCUAGUUUCCCAUCAAAUGACGGCUACAUAGAUCACCACCACCUCCAGCAGACAACAGUUUUGCAGCCACACUGAACAACAAACCACCGACCUGAUGAUGAGUGUACGCUGAGACAUGGACGCUUCUUCCUAUUCAGAACUGUUCCAGAAAAAGCCGUGCAUGGAAGGUCAGCGCCUGUACAGUGUUUUUGGAGGUUUCCUCACCGGCCAGUGUAUUAUCUUCUGCUUCUUGUGUUGGAUGUAUUAUAGUGUAAUCCUGAAACUUGACAAGGGAGAGGCUGGCACGCUGCGCAGGGCUGGAGAUUUUCCUGUGCGCCAGAGUUGGAGGAAAACAGACUCAAGAGUUUGUUACAGUAACCUCAGAGUAGCUGGAAAUGUCACUUGUGCUUCGAAAUUUCAACUUUUCUUCAUCACUGAAAAGACAAACCCAAUCCUCAGUCAACAGCAGUGCAUCUUUCUCUCUCACAGGGCUGGAUUUUCCCGUAGGAUUCUCCAUAAAACCAAAAGAUCGCUACUUUAAAUGUGACCAAAAACAGGAAGCGAAUUACCCUCGGUUUUGUUUCAGACUCGUUUUUCCUCUGAAAACCUUCAUCCAACCCCAUCCCUUCCCCUCUUCACCAAACACAAGCCAUGCAAACGUAUCCACAAAACAAGAAGCAAACACAUCCACAUUUUUAACUUUCGGUUUAAUUUCAGCCCAUAUCCCGACUUUCCAGCACGCGGUAACCUCAAACUGGAUUUAAUUUGAGGUCUUAGAUGCUGAAUGAAGAUUUGCAUGUUUCUAAGUAAUAAAUGAAGAACACUUGAAAGAUUGUGACUCAGCAUGCUUAAAGGGUUGCCGGUUGGCUGGAUUUUAGGCGCACGCACACACACACACAAAUACAGACGUACGCACAGACACAUUUUUCUUUUUUCUUUUGUCUUCACAGGCCGGGACCUUGUUUAUGUUUUUCUGUCAUUUUGAUUCUUUUGUAAUUCGCUUCCUGUUCUGCAUCAUCCUUUCGCUUUCUUCUCAACUGUGUCAUUUGAAAAAAGAAAGUGGACUGCACGCAAUGAAAUGGAUUGCACAUGCAAGAAGAAAAAAUAAAUAAAUAAAAAACAUGAGGAUGGGGGGGAGGCAUUGUUUAUAACCUCAAACCAUGACACGGUUUCCAUGGUUCUUUAUUUUACAGCUGUUGCAACUGUCCUCAUCCAUGUGUUUUGAAAGAGCCAUAGCAAAAAUGGAGUUUCUGUUUGAACUGAACUUUGGACUUUCGAUUACCAGCAACCGUAGCCUGACAGGGCGGACAUUUUUUUUUUUUUUUUUAGUGCUGUCAUAAGUACUGUGUACACACCAGUCAUAGGAACGACCCAAGGGCGUUGGACUUCUAACCAGGAAGUGACAGUCCUGCUUGUACAUGACUUGGUUCGCCGUGCGAAUCGUGCUAGUGUCUCUCUUUCUUAUUUCUAUAGAGGUGUAUUAUUUUGUUACGACGAUAAACAACACCUGGUGGGUUGGUAUGUUGGAGUAAUCACUCAUUGGCAGGGGCCACUACGGCGGAGACUGUGCAGUAGAAUUCAAUUUAGCCACCGGCCAGUAAUAAAAUGAGGUGGUGUUUUUUUUUUUUGUUUGUUUGUUUUUUUGCUGAGGUCAUCAGAAACCCUGCUGACGUAUUCAAGUUUCUCCAUAAAGUCUUUCAACAGGCACCGGCAGGAUCUUGAGACUGUUGCAGAAGAUUGACUGCAGAAUGACAGGCCAUGUAAACUUUUAAUCCUAGAACAAAAUUUAUGAAUGUUGCUCAGGAGGAAUGCAGCUGAGAAUGACCAAUUGCUCGAUGGCUUGAUGCACCGAUCCAACACGACUGCAUUCUUUGUCUCUCGCAUCUGUUAAACUGCAGACGAGGGGGAAAAAAAGCGAGAGAAACAUAACCAUAACUGUGACAACUCUGGACCAAGUUCUGGAUCUGUGAAAGAACUUGGGACUUUUUAAAAGCCUGCUCUCCAUCUGGCUCCUCUGCUGUUGUGGAUUUUAAUGCUGUGUUGUCGGACCCUGCUGGGGAUGAUCUGGUUCACUUAUUUUUUUUUUUUGUUUGUUUGUUUUUUGGUCUCCUGUAUUCUACCAGCCGCCAUCAAGCUGUAAUAUUUAUUAGUCUCCAUAUAUGUGCAGGUUCUUUUAUUGUGAAAAGAUCUGCCUAAUGGCAGGACCUGUGUCUGUUGCCACUUUGUCACUUUACAGUUUAUGCAAGCAGGAGAUUAUAUGCAAUUAAACUGUCCCCCCCACCCCCACUGCAAUAUCUGUAACCAUUUCAGCCGUCGUCGUGUACAAAAGGAGGUGAUGACUGUAAGUAGGAAGUUUGCUAGGUUAAAACUAAAAGUUUACCUUUACGAAUGCACAUUUUCACCAGUCUCUUUCCUUUAUGUUUACCUUCUAGCAGUAAUAUCUACAGUAUGUUCGUCUGUGCCUUGAGAUGCGGAGGUAAACUGUCCCGACAAAUUCAGACUCACACCAUUUCCUUACACUUGCAGUAAACAUAAAUAACAUGUAAUACAAACAUGUAAGGUUCAGAUUUGUUCGUUUGCUUUUUAAUUGCAUUUUUCUUUUAUUUGAGAAUUGUUUUGGUUGACAUGGUAAAAUUAUAUUUAGGGGAAGUCCUCCCUGAAUGAAGAUGAAAUAAGACUCUCGCACAAAACACCAAAACUCCUUUUCUAACCCACCUCCAAAGCACCCUGUUAAAGAACAUGACCCACGCCGCUGUGUCUUUUGGAUUUGACUGUCAGAGUCACAGGGUGCAGCUCUGCCUCUGAAAGGCUUGCUUCGUGGCCAGCCGCCUCCACCGGCUUUAUGAUGGAGCAAAAACGGACCAGACGCACUGUUUAGAGCUCUCAGUGCACAAGCCAAGACAUGAUGAUCAUGUCCUCCUGUGCUCCCUCUGUUAUUGUUCCUACUGCGACUCUUCUCAUUUACCAAGAGAGAAGGCCCUCUCCUCCCCAGUCUCUCAUCUUUUCGACCAAUUUUAACUUUUAGGAUUUUGCUAAAAACCAAGUGUCCCUUCCUCCUCCCUCUGUUUCUCUGUAUUUUCCUUAGAUUCUCAUUUCCUAAAAGGAAAACCUUUGCCCUAAACAGCAGUGAUGUGUGCUACUGGUGCAGAGGCCUGUCACCAGAAAAUGAUGGGCAGCUCCCUGGGUAGCUGAAAGGUGAAAGGUCAGAUCUGGGUCUAAUCCUGUCUCUACAUCUUGAUUCAGGGCUUCUAAAUACAGGAGCGUCAAAAAUGGCCAGCUUGGCAGUGACGUGCACUUGAUGAUAAUUAAAACACCCGGGGGAGGUAUCGAGUGUCCGUUUCUGCCAGAUAUACACGUGCUCUUCUCUCAGUGUUUGCGUGUUGCUGUUGUUGAUAUGUCAGCGAGGGUUCUCAUUUAAAGCUCAAGUGGCGUCUGCAGAUCCCUGAGUUGGCUGGAGGGCGUUUGUGGGUCAGGAUGGUGAUGCAAGCACCAGAGCCAGUGCCCUAAUCCACCCAUUAUCCUGCCUCAUGGCCCAUAAAGUUCUUGUUACUGUUUUCUUCCAAUCCAAUGUGAUACUCCUCCACCGAUCCCUAAGCAGCACCACUGUGAAGCAUUUCUCUGGGGGGUGGCUGCAGUGAUAAUUUCACAGGUUUUAAGGAUUCCAGGGCUGUUUUCUUUUCCUGAUAUCUCCUCUGAUUUGUGAUUGAUGGUUGAAUGUGGACUGAAUUACAGCAAUGGUGUAAUAGCUGCUGUUUAAAAACAAAAAGAGGCUGCUUCUGCUUUCCUGCUAGGAUACCAGCUAAAGAGUUAAUAGAAAUCCUCUUAAGAUGUGGUGGUGGUAUAUCUAUAAACAUUUUGUUUUUCCUUUUAUAAAAGUAGACUAGAAUGUACUUAGUGGAGAUCGGAGGAAUGGCUCUUGGGCAGUUAGCAGGCCCUUGUCCUCAAAUGCCUCCAUUGUGAAGCCAGGGUUAUGGUGUCAUUGGAUGGCAUAGGCUGUAAUCUGCACUUAAUCAGCACUUAAACAACUAAUGCCCCCUUUAAGUCGCCCGUUGUUAAAACGUUUCCUCUUCUGUGCCCCCAAAAUUGUCCGUAGCUGUUUGCUGAAUGUACCACAGCUGGUUAUGUAGGGUUUAUUAUUUGUUUCUUUUUGUAAAUUCUUUUCAAGAAUCAUCUCAGCAGGUAAAGGAAAUUGGCAUGCACUCAGUGAAGGAAUCAUGUUUGUGUCUCAGCCUUUUAACAAUGUGCCAGCAUCAUUCCACAGUAUUUACAGUUUACAGAGACGGUGCAAGAGUUUCCCCAGGAGGACACGGUGUCUCUUAAGAUUCUGAAAUAAAGGGGAAAUAUAAGUGAGGUUUGUCUUUUCUCUGUCAGCUCUCUUCUUAUGGAUGUUUUUUUUCUCUUUGUUAAACAAAAGAUGUCUUAUUUUGGAAUCUAUAUUGGAUAGAUUUUAUUUAAGGAAAAACUAAUUUUGUAAAGUGGGCCUUAUUAUUGAAAUAUAUAAAGUAUUUGUCCAUCUUGAUUUAAAGAGGGGUUUUUUUUUUUCUCCUUUUUCUCUGUCACACUCCUGGAGAGUUCUUCUUCGUGUAUUUUGUGCUUGGUAGUUUUAAUGCAAGACGUUUCUCACAACCUGGAGACAUGAUGACGCACCGUGGAUGAGGAAAAAGAGAAGCCAGCGAUAGUCUUUGAAGAGUGAGAGUUAUGUGCGUUUUAUCAGAGCUGAGCAGGUCUCCGGUGUUGAGUCCCUUUUCUCUUUUUUUGUUUCAUGUUUUUUUUUUUUUUAAAUCGGGGACCAUUCACUGCUCCAGCCGCUUUGCCGCCCUGAUCUCCCUCGCUCAUAAAUUCAGGGUUUGUACAUCUUCUGUGCUGUAUGUUUGAAAGUGCUGCCAAAGAAAGAAGCGUGCAGGUCCCCAGACAUGUGUAUAUAUUGAAACAUACAAUCUUAACAGGAACAAUCGGAUAACGAAUUAAAAGAAUACAUUUUUUUUUUUUAAACUGGAUGUUCUCUCUCUUAACGCUGAUCCAUCCACAUCUAAGAUUUUCCGAACUGUACAAAUGAGGGGUUUAUUUGUUUGUUUAUUUGGGUUUUUUUAAUAGAUGAGUGUAUAUAAAUGUGUGUGCAGAACAAGGAGACUAACAGACAGAGGUGUCAAACACAGACGUACAUGUGAUUAAAAUCAGAUCAAAAUUGUUUUAUGAUUGAUUACUGCUUCUCUGUGUCAGCAAUGCCAGGUGUACUGUGUGGGGAGGCUUCUUUUUUUCGUUUUAAACUUAAUACAUUGUGCAUGUUUUAACCUUUCUGUGGCUGGCGCACUCUGCAUGUAGGUCUCUUGAAGCUGUACAGCAGACCAUAUGUAUUCCAAUAAAAAUAAAAACCAACCUGUUUGUAAA